rnacentral:rRNA from 1 species
GGGUGCGAUCAUUCCAGCACUAAUGCACCAGAUCCCAUCAGAAUUCCGAAGUUAAACGUGUUUGGGCGAGAGUAGUACUAAGAUGGGUGACCUCUUGGACUGAGGUUUUUAAGAUGGAUUUU